GGCUCGGCGAUCUCUCCUUCUUUCUGUGGCUCGGCGAUAUCUCCUUCUUUCCGCGGCUCGGCGAUCUCUCCUCCUUUGAAUUUUUUUGUACGUCGGAACAUGUGUAGCAAAGGUGGAAAUACUAUUAUCUCUCCUCUUUUUUUCGCAAUCUCUCUAUAUCGCUCUCGUCUCUCUAUUUUUUUCUCUCCUCCGUCUAUCGUCCCUCGUAUUGAUUUCGAUUCUCAUAUUUAUAAUAGGAGGGGCAGCGAGAGAUAUUUUGAGGAGUCGGUUAGGGAUUCAAAAUUCAAAAUCAAAUUUUGAAUCGGUUGUUGGAUGAAUAGGUAUUCAAAAUUCGAAUAGAUGUGGUUGGUUGGGAGAUAUUUUGGGAGUUGGUUGGGAAUUCAAAAUUCGAAAUCGAAUUUUGAAUCGGUUGUUGUGGUUGGUUGAAAGAUAUUUUAGGGGUUGGUUGGGGAUUCGAAAUUCGAAAUCGAAUUUUAAAUCGGCUGUUGGAUGGUUGGAGGAUAUUUUGGGAAUUGGUUGGGGAUUCGAAAUUUGAAAUCGAAUUUUGAAUCGGUUGUUGGAUGGUUGGAAGAUAUUUUUGAAAUUGGUUGGAGAUUCGAAAUUUAAAAUCGAAUUUUGAAUGGGUUGUUGGAUGGUUGAAGGAUAUUUUGGGAAUUGGUUGGGGAUUCGAAAUUCGAAAUCGAAUUUUGAAUGGGUUGUUGGAUGGUUGGAGGAUAUUUUGGGAAUUGGUCGGGGAUUCGAAAUUCGAAAUUGAAUUUUGAAUGAGUUGUGGUUUGAAAUCGAACUUCGAACAGAUAUUUUAUAGGGUGUGGAUAUGGGCCGUCGUUGAUCAGGCCCAUUUCAAUGAAAUUUAUUGGGCACAAAUGAUAAUAUUUAAUGGACUGGAAUGAGGCCCGAAUUGUUGUAUAGGUCUGAAAUUUUAAAGUGCUUUCAUGAGGCCCACUAACUCACAUUUAUGAUGGGCUUAUUAUGGGUUAUAAUUAUCGGCCUCAAAAUUUUACGGUCAACAUGAGACAUAUUAGGAUUGUAUUUUGAUUAUGAUUAGGAUUGUUUCAUCCUAUAAGUAUUAUUUCACUUCAAACAGGCACGAUUUCAAUGUGGCGCAAGACGAACCCAACAAGCUUCAGAUCCAGCAAAGAAAACUUGGUGAAAAUCGGCAGAAAAGAUUAAUUGCGAGAAAGUAGGAAAUGACGAGGUAGGGUUUAGGUAUGCUCGGGUUCCUCUCGAACUCACGCAACCCCCUCCCUGUGUAUAACAAGAUAAGGCUAAGAUUAUACGGAUAAAGAUUAGGAUAAAGAUAAAAACGAAAAAAUAAAUAUAAAAUAAAAUAAAAUAAAUCGGAUGUAUGAACUGCACGCACGCACCGCCGCCCGCCAGACCCAGCUCGUGCUCUUGCUCGUGCCAUACGUGUGUUUAAACGAGAGUAUAAAUCUCAUUUUCUCCCAAGCAACUAGUUUAAGAAUAAAGC
rnacentral:lncRNA from 1 species